rnacentral:rRNA from 1 species
AACGAACGCUGGCGGCAUGCCUAACACAUGCAAGUCGAACGAAACCGUCGGGCUUAUUUGCGCACGGGGGCGUAACGCGUGGGAACCUGCCCUUGAGUUCGCAAUAACUCCCUGAAAGGGGUCCUAAUACCGGAUAAUGUCUUCCGACCAACGAGUUAUCGCCUUUGGGUGGGCCCGGGUUGGUUUAGCGGGUAGGGUAAAAGCGUACCAAGGCGAGGAUCCAUAGCUGGUAUGAGAGGAUGAUCAGCCACACUGGGACUGAGACACGGCCCAGACUCCUACGGGAGGCAGCAGAGGGGAAUAUUGGACAAUGGGCGAUAGCCUGAUCCAGCAAUGCCGGGUGAGUGAUGAAGGCCUUAGGGUUGUAAAGCUCUUUUACACGGGAUGAUAAUGACAGUACCGGGAGAAUAAGCACCGGCUAACUCCGUG